UUUUCUUAUCUUCAUCCUUGUUUCCUAGCAAAAAUUGUCGAGAAACGAACCGCGAACAAGGAAUCGAAUAGAGAUUUGCACGGAACGCAAAUCUGUCGAGAAACGAACCGCGAACAAGGAAUCGAAUAGAGAUUUGCACGGAACGCAAAUCUGAGAUUAGUGGACGGCUUUGGAAAAAUAUGUUCAAGUGGUUAUCAAGAACGCAAGCUUUUGUGAUGUCAUCCGUUUUCAGUUGUUAUGUUUUGAACUUUGAAUAAUGUAGUUAAAGUUGUUGUUGUUUCAAGUUUCAAACAAGACAUAUGUAAUGUAAAUUAUGGUUUCGAAUCAAAU